AUGGUACUACAUCAAGCAAUAAUGCGAUUCAAAUUGGCUUCCAUAGAUGGAUAUGAUGCAACUGGCUGCUACAACAUGGAUUGCCCUGGUUUCAUAUGGGCAGAUGGUGCUGUUAUAGCUCCUGGUGAUGCUAUACAUCAAGUUUCUGAUGUCCCCAAUGGGCCUAUACAAAAUAUCACACUGAGGGUGGUUAAGGACAAAACAAGUGGAGACUGGUGGGUGCAUUAUGGCUUUAACAAAAUUCCAACAAGUGUAGGAUACUUUCCGAAGUCGCUGUUCAGCUACUUAGCACAAAAGGCAAACCGAAUGGCUUUUGGUGCAUUUGUUAUAUCUAAAAAAGCAAUUCCAACUCCUCCAAUGGGCAGUGGUGCCUUCCCAAAUGGUGGCAAGGGGCGUGCCGCAUCAUUCACCGAUCUUCGAUUCAUUGAUCAGAAUGGGAAUAGCAGACCAAUCACAGCAAACGUGACCAUGUCAGUAACAGAUGCCAAAUGCCACUCUAUUACUGCUAUUAAAAAUGCUAAAUGCUUUUAUGGUUGUCCUGGAGGUUGUGUGAAAUAA
rnacentral:rRNA from 1 species